ACCAGGUGAUCUACCCUUGGUCAGGUUGAAGUUCAGGUAACACUGAAUGGAGGACCGAACCGACUUACGUUGAAAAGUGAGCGGAUGAACUGAGGGUAGCGGAGAAAUUCCAAUCGAACCUGGAGAUAGCUGGUUCUCUCCGAAAUGCAUUUGGGUGCAGCGUCGGGUCAUUACGUCCCGGGGGUAGAGCUACUGGAUGCUUGCGGGCCCGUAUCGGGUACCAACAGCAACCAAACUCCGAAUACCGGUGACGCGUAUCCCGGCAGUGAGUCGGCGGGGGAUAAGCUUCGUCGUCGAAAGGGAAACAGCCCAGACCGUCGUCUAAGGUCCCGAAGCGUGUGCUAAGUGGGAAA
rnacentral:rRNA from 1 species